AUUCCAUCCACAGCUUUGAAGUUGUCAGCCAGUGACCACUGUUGCCCGGUCUCACGAGGGAAUCGCGUGCAAGCAGGGCCUCAAUCAUCUGACCCUGCAGCAGCCAGAGUCAGAGUGGAGUCAGCAGUAAAGACGCUGAGUCAAGCAGGCCAGAGCAGCCAAGCUUCCGAGCUUCGCUCCCACUACAGAGGGCCAUCCCAUUCGGCAGAGCACCCCUCAGAGGCAGUUGGAGGCUGUGGGGCUCAAGACGACAACAUGGGGAGACCAGCUGAAGCUCUGCUACACCCACUCCAAUUGACUGACUGGGAAAGCGUCAACAAGGCCAGCACCUCUGGCAGGAGCUACAGCCUUCGGCUUUUCCCAAGGCAGGUAGCUGCUGGGGAGGCUUGGUGUGGUCUCUGUCUCCCUGUUCUCACAGUCUGGGGUCACCCUUUCUUAACCAGGAAAACCAGGUGGGAGACAUGGCAAACACUGGUACCCUGCUGUUUAGAUUUUUUCCAGCCACCAGAACUGUUAUUCUCCCCAACCCCAAUUUUUUUUCCUUAUAAAGUACCCCGUUUAAGAUAUUUUGCUACAGCCACACAAAGUACACUACGCUAAUCAGUUGGUAAGAGGUUGUCCGUCCCUUGCUGACAGUGGACUCAGUAAGGAGCUUGGAUCUAAGGGGCUGAAAGCAGGGCUAUUGGAUCUGUAAACACGUGGCAGGUCCGUCUCCAACUGAGCCCAACCUUGGCCAGCUCCUGGCUGCAGAAAGAAAGUUGGAGAUGAUCCUGAAGAAACCGUCCUGAGCCCUGACUCCAGACACUGAGGGUUUGAAUGCCUGUGGCAUUAAACCUCAUCUCUGUGUUACUACACUUCCCAUGAGCCUCCGGGCUUGGCAUCCUCUGGAUGGAAGUCUCAGGGGCCACCUCCUGCAGGUACCGGCUCAAUGCUCUGGUCUUAGUUUGGGAAGCCGCACUGAAGUCCACCCAGACUCAAAGGGAAGGAACCUAGACCUCACGGUGGGAGAUGUUUGGUGGCUGCAAAGCAUGCUGCACCCUCAUGGCCAGUUGGCGUCAUGCUUUCCUGAAAACCUGUUCCCACCAUGAGGGGGCAAAAGGAGUCCAGGCCAGAGGUGGUCCCAGAGUGAGGGCUAUCUUACCCUUGUUGGAUUCUUACUCUUGGUUCCAGCUCUUCCCCUGAGCUCUGAGCUAGCAACCGCCAGGCCCUGAGCAGCCGCAUUCAUGCUUUUAGGGGUGAAAGGCCCUUUCACUGCCUUCUGGCUCCAACCCACAUAGGGCGUGCACCCAACUCCUUUCAAAGUGAGGGCGUUUCCAACAUGUUUGCUGAAAACCCACCCCACCGGACAAACAUCCCACCCACAAAACAGUUUUUUAAAAACUAAUAAAACUUUUUAUUUAGGAGCUUUUCAGGUUUACAGAAGUGUCGCCCAGAGCAUACAGAGAAAUCCCAGGAUUCUCCUGGUGCUGGUUUUCACACACACCGCCAUCUUGCCUUGGUGCUGCGGACGGCUGCACUGGAUGAUAGGCAGGGCUCAGGGUCUACUCCAGGCUCCGUCUUCAGGAGUCUGCUGGGGACUUCCCAAGACCUACAAGGUGCUCUGUGAGACGCCUCAGAAACCCUGCUGCUGUCUGAAGGGUUCAUGAGGCAACUUGAAGUCUGUGUUGAGCCCCCUCCCCUUGUCUUGUU
ensembl:lncRNA